UGCAAUAUCAAGAUGUCUGAAUCAAUUCAGAGAUUAUUUUGUGAUGCUUGAUUACUAAUGAUUAAUUUUGGAGAUGAUUUUUAAAAGUGCAAAGUUACUUAAGUUUUUUUGUGUGUAUGUGUGUAAGACAGUAUUCAUUGUACAGUUAAGUCUGUACAAUGAAAGAAUGUGAGAUUUGGGUCAGAGGACUUGAAUGGAUAUGACCCCAGGCUAUACCACUUCUUACCUGUGGGUCCCUGGGCAAUGACUUAAAGCUUUCUGAACUUUGUAUAACAAUGGUCAAGAGUGUCUACUUCACUGAGUGGUAAAGGGGAUUCAUGUAUGAAAAAGUUCUUUAACGUGCAAAACUAAAUUUUCUAUAUCUAUUUAUCCCCAUUUGCUUGUUUAGAUUCUGUUUUUCAAAGGAUUUGAGAAGGCAGAUGUAUAUCACAUGUUUGUUGUUGUUGUCAUGGUUUCUACUAUUAUGCCAACUCUGGGAAGUUGGUUGUCAAGGUGGAAUGCAGAAAAAAAGCAUAAAUAUUUACACGCAGCCUGUUUCAGAGAACCAGGGGAAGGGGACCCUCCUGAAAUAGGAAAGUUAAGUAACUCCUGGGUAGUAACCUAAUGUGAUAUCACAAUACCUAUGCCACUCACCUCACUUUAUCUUAUCACAAAGGCGCAUCAUCUCACAAGGAGGAAUCAGGCAUUGUUAGAGUUCUGUAUCAUCUUUCAUAUAUCAAGAUCACCACACUGGUAAUAUGCUGUAUCUGAAGCUGUACCAAGGUGUUAUCCUUGGUGCUAAGACAAUGAAUUAAGCUUGGGGUCAUCUGAAAACUUUUAAGUGUUCAUAGGAUGAAUGAUUGCUGUAAUAUCACAAGAUGCCCAGAGAUAACAAGAGAAAGGUUUCCCAGUCUGAUGAAGAAGGCAGAUCUGAAACACAAUACAAGUGCAAUAGCAGAAAGAAUGCAUAAAUUAACAUUUGGCAAGGAGGAUGGAGAGUAACUUGCUGGAAAAGGCUGAUGAAGAAAAGACAUAAAGUAGGCCUUACAGGAUAAGAAUAUCAUUUCCAGGUGGAAAAAAUAUGUGAUGGAGAAAAGACAUUGAAGGACAGUGUAAGCAGAAGGAACAGCAGGAUAACUGGAAUUUUGGAGGUCACUGGGCUGCAGCCAUGGAGGUGUUUGUGACUGAGAAGGCAGCCAGAGCUGAGAAGAGAAAAUGAUGGAGUAAAGGUUGGUAGCAUAUAACAGCCUCUGCAGGACCCACAAAUCUGAUGACUGGAAAACAGCAACUCAGCUAAGAGAAAGGGAAGAGUUCUGGAAAUCAAGAGAGCAUGACAGGAAAACUAGAAAUCACAGAGAAACUGGAGAAACUGAAGACAAUGCAGAGAAAAGAACAAAGCAGUGUGGAAUGCUAACCCUGGAUUUCAGGGAGAGGGACCUGUUUCCCAAACACAAGCAGGGUUACCUGGCUGGAUGACACGCAGAGAUGUGGCCCGACUUCUCAAGAGAAGCUUUCCUUCACACUUCUUACCGUACCCUUAAUUGGAAGCUCCUAAAGAUGAUGCUGAAGCCAAGUGUAUCUUCUCCUGUCUCCAUUCUCAUGCCCUGGGGCCACCUUGGUUAAUGGGUCUUUCGGAUUUCUUCCCUGAGGUGGUUACAGCUUCUGGAUUUGUUUGAAAAAUCUUAGAUCCUCUUUCUGACUCUGCUAUUAUUAUGGGGUUCCCCCCAUCAGCCAGAAACUGCAUUUGACUCAAGCUCUUAGAAUUUCAUAGUUUUGAAAGUCCUUAAAGGUCAUCAAGUCUAACAUCUCCAUCCUACUCACCUUCUGAUAUUUGAAUCUUCUCUGUACCAGAAGAAGUAUCUCAAGUGCCUUUCUAACUUUUGUUUGAAUGCCUCCAAUGACAAGGAACUUACUACUUCACAAGCAUCUCAUUUCAUCUGCCUAUGAAGUUUCUUAUUCUACUGAAUUGUCGUCUAAAUCCUGGCUUCUACCUACUGAAAGAGACAGUUCAUCACUGAAGAAGAAAUCAAGUCAAAUUGGCUAGCAGGAAGAAACUCUUUGGGAAUCCUUAGCUUCAUUAGAAGUACACUUUUGUUCAAAUGAAGUGUUAAAAUUAAAGCAGUAUAUAUCUGAGUGGGGCCAAUUGGCAUGAACUCAUCACAGCAUAUGGUGUGCUUCCUUUUAUAUGCAUGUUUAGCAGCUAGUGGGUACCAAACCUCGCACAGCUCUCAAUUGCUAGCACUAAUGAAGGAUCUGUUUGCCUUUGGGGAUAAAGAUGGUAUCACUGAUUCACAGUUGUUUUUCCAGGAGUGAAGAACAGAUUUUACUUCCUCAUUCAAACUCUUGCUUGGUCCUUUCCCUUCCCCACUACCACUGUCCUAAUUCAGGCACCAUUCUCUCUUGCCAGGAUUGUUCACUUGCCUCUACCUGGCCUUCCAGCUUCCAGUUCUGGCCCUCUCUGGUCUAAGGUAACAUUGCCAGGGGAAUCUUAAUGUCACAGAUUUGAGGUAUCACUUCUGGAUCAAAAUGCUUCAGUGACUCCUCUUAGCUCCAGCAUGGAGUCUAAAUUUCUUAGCAUGGCAAAUAGGUAGGGAAAAGUCAGAGGGUCACAUGUGGACUAGGAUAAGGUUAAUUGUUCUCAAUCAGGAACAACUGAGGCUCCAAAGUCGUAUAGUGCCUUCUAGAACAAUAGGUCAUAUAUGUAUAACUGCAAAUUACACAAUUAAUUUACUGACAAACUUUAACCUCUACUUGGUAGGAGAAAAAGAUUCUGUCAAUAUAGCU
ensembl:lncRNA